ACCUGGGUGGCUCAGUCGGUUAAGCGUCUGACUUCGGCUCAGGUCAUGAUCUCACAACUCAUGAGUUUGAGUCCCAUGUCAGGUU
rnacentral:tRNA from 1 species